UACGAAGGGGGCUAGCGUUGCUCGGAAUGACUGGGCGUAAAGGGCGCGUAGGCGGUUCGUACAGUCAGACGUGAAAUUCCCGGGCUCAACCUGGGGGCUGCGUUUGAUACGGACGGGCUUGAGUUCGGAAGAGGGUCGUGGAAUUCCCAGUGUAGAGGUGAAAUUCGUAGAUAUUGGGAAGAACACCGGUGGCGAAGGCGGGUCUCUGGGCCGAUACUGACGCUGAGGAGCGAAAGCGUGGGGAGCGAACAGG
rnacentral:rRNA from 1 species